UGCCACCAUAUGUGGCCUGGGGUGCUGGCAGGUUGUCCGCAUCUCCAACAGGAGUCGGAAACAUUUGGGAAAAUCUUGUUUAGUUUCAUAGGUGUUAGGUGCCAUCGAGUUAUCCGCUUGUAGUUGCCCUCUUGGGAAUGUGUACUAAGGCAUGUUUUAUGGAUUCUAAGAAAUAUGUGUGCCCAGUCCUUCGGGGAGAUAUGAAUGUUAAGUUCUGAUUCCCAGGAGUUAGUGAAUUUGGGUAAUGGUUGUUCAUCGUCAGUUGUCAGUAGAUUGUACAUAGUAGAUAGUUGUUUGUUUUUUAUCUUGGUGGAUGUGC